rnacentral:rRNA from 1 species
CAGCUCUCCGAGUGGUAGGGAUGAUUAUUGGGCUUAAAGCGUCCGUAGCCGGCUUAGCAAGUUUCCUGUUAAACCCAGCGACUCAAUCGUUGGAUCGCGGGAAAUACUACUAGGCUAGGAGGCGGGAGAGGUCAACGGUACUUCUGGGGUAGGGGUGAAAUCCUAUAAUCCCGGGAGGACCACCAGUGGCGAAGGCUAUUGACUAGAACGCGCUCGACGGUGAGGGACGAAAGCUGGGGGAGCGAACCGGAUUAGAUACCCGAGUAGUCC